UUGAAUAAACUUGGUUGGGUUGUUGCUGGCUCUUAGGAGCAGGUGCACACCUGAUAACCAUUUUUAAACCACCUGUGCACAUUUUUGUAGACUUUGGAUACCUGUCGAGGCAACUCGGUCUAAGGAUUGCUGGUGCGAAAGCUUAAGCUCUCUUUACAUUUCCGGUCUAUGUAUUUAUACACUCUAUCAGUAUGUUUGUGGGGAUGUCAUUAAUAGGCCUAAAGUGCCUUUAAAAUUAAUA
rnacentral:misc_RNA from 1 species